rnacentral:rRNA from 1 species
AACGAACGCUGGCGGCAUGCCUAACACAUGCAAGUCGAACGAGACCUUCGGGUCUAGUGGCGCACGGGUGCGUAACGCGUGGGAACCUGCCCUUAGGUUCGGAAUAACUCCCCGAAAGGGGUGCUAAUACCGGAUAAUGUCUUCGGACCAAAGAUUUAUCGCCUUUGGAUGGGCCCGCGUUGGAUUAGCUAGUUGGUAGGGUAAAAGCCUACCAAGGCGACGAUCCAUAGCUGGUCUGAGAGGAUGAUCAGCCACACUGGGACUGAGACACGGCCCAGACUCCUACGGGAGGCAGCAGUGGGGAAUAUUGGACAAUGGGCGAAAGCCUGAUCCAGCAAUGCCGGGUGAGUGAUGAAGGCCUUAGGGUUGUAAAGCUCUUUUACCCGGGAUGAUAAUGACAGUACCGGGAGAAUAAGCUCCGGCAAACUCCGG